UUCUUUAUGUCAUGGGAAUUGUUUGCCUAUAUACUUCAAUGGUUGAAACCAUGCAUAUGUGAUUUGAGAUUUUCCAUGGAAGUUUGAUAAAUAUGAAUGAUAAAUUGCUUUCAAAUUCUCAUGAUAAUGUCUUGAUACCCCAUAUCAUAUUGUGACCAACAAAAGAUAGCAUGAAUUUGAAAUAAUUAUUGUUCACCACUUGUAAAUGAUGAAGCACC
rnacentral:lncRNA from 1 species